rnacentral:rRNA from 1 species
AUUGAACGCUGGCGGCAGGCCUAACACAUGCAAGUCGAACGGUAACAGGAAACAGCUUGCUGUUUCGCUGACGAGUGGCGGACGGGUGAGUAAUGUCUGGGAAACUGCCUGAUGGAGGGGGAUAACUACUGGAAACGGUAGCUAAUACCGCAUAACGUCGCAAGACCAAAGAGGGGGACCUUCGGGCCUCUUGCCAUCGGAUGUGCCCAGAUGGGAUUAGCUAGUAGGUGGGGUAACGGCUCACCUAGGCGACGAUCCCUAGCUGGUCUGAGAGGAUGACCAGCCACACUGGAACUGAGACACGGUCCAGACCCCUACGGGAGGCAGCAGUGGGGAAUAUUGCACAAUGGGCGCAAGCCUGAUGCAGCCAUGCCGCGUGUAUGAAGAAGGCCUUCGGGUUGUAAAGUACUUUCAGCGGGGAUGAAGGGAGUAAAGUUAAUACCUUUGCUCAUUGACGUUACCCGCAGAAGAAGCACCGGCUAACUCCGUG